UAAUAGUCUCGUGACAGUUUACUUGUAUGUUCGUGGCAACUUAUAAAAAAAAUACCAUAGAGAGAGAGAGAGAGAAUUUAAAAAAGAAAUUACUCUGACUAAAUAUUCAGCUAUUAAAACUCAACCUGUUUGUAAUGCCUAUGCCAAGAAGAUAGGAUGUUUUGAACACACGUCAAAAUUAUAUGGCACUUAAAUACGGGACAAAGUUCCAGGAGCUGUUGGCUUGUGAAGGCAGUGCGGGGCCGCCGUGUCUUACCCAGCAAGUUGGACUGCUGCUGAGCUGCAAGUAAAAAUUCACAUACUUAACGAUUGUAAAUAUCAAGUAUUUUAUUUAAUUAUUUUUAAUAAAGUUUUGUACAAAUUUAACUUAAUUUCAUCAAAAUAUUAAUAAUUUAGCUAUUAUUCUUUUGAAGAUCAUCAAAAUAUUCUUUCUUAUACAUGUAACACUUUUUUGAUUGUGGACUGUUAAGAAACAUUUUGAAUCACGUGGCAAAGGAAAUAAGACCUUACUAGGAUUAUUAUUUUCAUAUUAAAGAAUGUGUACAUAAUAACAGUUUCAAUCAAUGGUUUGAAAGGAAAUUGGCUUCAUUUGAGUUUUUUCCUGCACGUUUUGGGGUGUGAGUACUAUUCAUUUGAUUAAAAUUGACAAAAGA